CCUACGCGAGGCAGCAGUGAGGAAUAUUGGUCAAUGGGCGGGAGCCUGAACCAGCCAAGUCGCGUGAGGGAAGACGGUCCUAUGGAUUGUAAACCUCUUUAGGCGGGGAGCAAUGCCGGGCACGCGUGCCCGGAGGGAGAGUACCCGCAGAAUAAGCAUCGGCUAACUCCGUGCCAGCAGCCGCGGUAAUACGGAGGAUGCGAGCGUUAUCCGGAGUUAUUGGGUUUAAAGGGUGCGUAGGCGGAUUUUUAAGUCAGCGGUAAAAUGUCCGGGCUCAGCCCGGGCCGGCCGUUGAAACUGGGGAUCUUGAGUGGGCGAGAAGUAUGCGGAAUGCGUGGUGUAGCGGUGAAAUGCAUAGAUAUCACGCAGAACUCCGAUUGCGAAGGCAGCAUACCGGCGCCCGACUGACGCUGAGGCACGAAAGCGUGGGGAUCGAACAGGAUUAGAUACCCUGGUAGUC
rnacentral:rRNA from 1 species